CCCAGGGGGAUGGGGGGACACAGAACAGUCUCAGGUUUGGAGAGCCCAUGGACAUCCCUGUUUUCUGCUGUGUCUCGGGGGAAGGACUGUCAGGGAUGCAGAUCUUUGGUCCCUUGGGAGAGGGACCCUGGGGAGUGAAAGCAAGGAGCUGUGCUGUGGCUUUGAGGGACUGAACACCUGUUUGGGGGUACAUGAAAGCCAGCUG